AAUCCAUAGGUUAAUGAGGCGAACCGGGGGAACUGAAACAUCUAAGUACCCCGAGGAAAAGAAAUCAACCGAGAUUCCCCCAGUAGCGGCGAGCGAACGGGGAGGAGCCCAGAGCCUGAAUCAGCAUGUGUGUUAGUGGAAGCGUCUGGAAAGGCGCGCGAUACAGGGUGACAGCCCCGUACACAAAAGCGCAUGUGCUGUGAGCUCGAUGAGUAGGGCGGGACACGUGGUAUCCUGUCUGAAUAUGGGGGGACCAUCCUCCAAGGCUAAAUACUCCUGACUGACCGAUAGUGAACCAGUACCGUGAGGGAAAGGCGAAAAGAACCCCGGCGAGGGGAGUGAAAAAGAACCUGAAACCGUGUACGUACAAGCAGUGGGAGCACAGGUUUACCUGUGUGACUGCGUACCUUUUGUAUAAUGGGUCAGCGACUUAUAUUCUGUAGCAAGGUUAACCGUAUAGGGGAGCCGGAGGGAAACCGAGUCUUAAUUGGGCGUUAAGUUGCAGGGUAUAGACCCGAAACCCGGUGAUCUAGCCAUGGGCAGGUUGAAGGUUGGGUAACACUAACUGGAGGACCGAACCGACUAAUGUUGAAAAAUUAGCGGAUGACCUGUGGCUGGGGGUGAAAGGCCAAUCAAACCGGGAGAUAGCUGGUUCUCCCCGAAAGCUAUUUAGGUAGCGCCUCGUGAAUUCAUCUCCGGGGGUAGAGCACUGUUUCGGCUAGGGGGCCAUCCCGGCUUACCAACCCGAUGCAAACUGCGAAUACCGGAGAAUGUUAUCACGGGAGACACACGGCGGGUGCUAACGUCCGUCGUGAAGAGGGAAACAACCCAGACCGCCAGCUAAGGUCCCAAAGUCAUGGUUAAGUGGGAAACGAUGUGGGAAGGCCCAGACAGCCAGGAUGUUGGCUUAGAAGCAGCCAUCAUUUAAAGAAAGCGUAAUAGCUCACUGGUCGAGUCGGCCUGCGCGGAAGAUGUAACGGGGCUAAACCAUGCACCGAAGCUGCGGCAGCGAACGUAUCACCCAAGACAACUUUACGGAGUUGACGAUUGACGGAGCGAAGCGACGUCAAAGCGUUCAUUAAAGUCGAGUUGGCUUAGGGAUACGUUCGUUGGGUAGGGGAGCGUUCUGUAAGCCUGUGAAGGUGUGUCGUGAGGCAUGCUGGAGGUAUCAGAAGUGCGAAUGCUGACAUAAGUAACGAUAAAGCGGGUGAAAAGCCCGCUCGCCGGAAGACCAAGGGUUCCUGUCCAACGUUAAUCGGGGCAGGGUGAGUCGACCCCUAAGGCGAGGCCGAAAGGCGUAGUCGAUGGGAAACGGGUUAAUAUUCCCGUACUUGGUGUUACUGCGAAGGGGGGACGGAGAAGGCUAUGUUGGCCGGGCGACGGUUGUCCCGGUUUAAGCGUGUAGGUGUGUGUUCCAGGUAAAUCCGGUUCACUUUAACACUGAGGCGUGACGACGAGGCACUACGGUGCUGAAGCAACAAAUGCCCUGCUUCCAGGAAAAGCCUCUAAGCAUCAGGUAACAUCAAAUCGUACCCCAAACCGACACAGGUGGUCAGGUAGAGAAUACCAAGGCGCUUGAGAGAACUCGGGUGAAGGAACUAGGCAAAAUGGUGCCGUAACUUCGGGAGAAGGCACGCUGACACGUAGGUGAAGUGAUUUACUCAUGGAGCUGAAGUCAGUCGAAGAUACCAGCUGGCUGCAACUGUUUAUUAAAAACACAGCACUGUGCAAACACGAAAGUGGACGUAUACGGUGUGACGCCUGCCCGGUGCCGGAAGGUUAAUUGAUGGGGUCAGCGCAAGCGAAGCUCCUGAUCGAAGCCCCGGUAAACGGCGGCCGUAACUAUAACGGUCCUAAGGUAGCGAAAUUCCUUGUCGGGUAAGUUCCGACCUGCACGAAUGGCGUAAUGAUGGCCAGGCUGUCUCCACCCGAGACUCAGUGAAAUUGAACUCGCUGUGAAGAUGCAGUGUACCCGCGGCAAGACGGAAAGACCCCGUGAACCUUUACUAUAGCUUGACACUGAACAUUGAGCCUUGAUGUGUAGGAUAGGUGGGAGGCUUUGAAGUGUGGACGCCAGUCUGCAUGGAGCCGACCUUGAAAUACCACCCUUUAAUGUUUGAUGUUCUAACGUGGACCCGUAAUCCGGGUUGCGGACAGUGUCUGGUGGGUAGUUUGACUGGGGCGGUCUCCUCCUAAAGAGUAACGGAGGAGCACGAAGGUUGGCUAAUCCUGGUCGGACAUCAGGAGGUUAGUGCAAUGGCAUAAGCCAGCUUGACUGCGAGCGUGACGGCGCGAGCAGGUGCGAAAGCAGGUCAUAGUGAUCCGGUGGUUCUGAAUGGAAGGGCCAUCGCUCAACGGAUAAAAGGUACUCCGGGGAUAACAGGCUGAUACCGCCCAAGAGUUCAUAUCGACGGCGGUGUUUGGCACCUCGAUGUCGGCUCAUCACAUCCUGGGGCUGAAGUAGGUCCCAAGGGUAUGGCUGUUCGCCAUUUAAAGUGGUACGCGAGCUGGGUUUAGAACGUCGUGAGACAGUUCGGUCCCUAUCUGCCGUGGGCGCUGGAGAACUGAGGGGGGCUGCUCCUAGUACGAGAGGACCGGAGUGGACGCAUCACUGGUGUUCGGGUUGUCAUGCCAAUGGCACUGCCCGGUAGCUAAAUGCGGAAGAGAUAAGUGCUGAAAGCAUCUAAGCACGAAACUUGCCCCGAGAUGAGUUCUCCCUGAGACUUAGAGUCUCCUGAAGGAACGUUGAAGACGACGACGUUGAUAGGCCGGGUGUGUAAGCGCAGCGAUGCGUUGAGCUAACCGGUACUAAUGAACCGUGAGGCUUAACCUUACA
rnacentral:rRNA from 2 species